GGGAUCAUUACCGAGUUUAC
rnacentral:rRNA from 1 species